CUUCUGUUUUGUUACGCUUUAACCACCCCUGUAAUGCUGAUAACAAUUGUUUCAUGUUCCAAUCUUCCCAAUUAUCAUCAAUACGUACUAAAUCAGGCUUAACCUGGGGGGAGCUUAUUUAAGGUAGAUACCACCAACCCCUUUAACAUAGCUUCUUCACCCAACAUUUGCAGUGCGUCAUAGUUUUUGCAAAGACUUUCAUAAAAAUCACAUACCUUAUCGUAAUUUCUUCCUCUCACCGUCUGCAACUUAAUAAUUUCCUCCAUUUGAGCUGCAAUUACUAAUUUAUUAUGACCAUAUUCCGUUUUCAACCUUUCCCAUGCUGUUUUGUAACCUUCUGACCCCGGCUUCAAGUUCGAAAGUCUACCUCUCACCUUCGGAUUCACGAGCUCUAACAGGUACCCAAAUUUCUCAGCGUCCGAAAUGGACUUGCUGUCCACUUGUGAGGCAAACAUAUUCUCGAACCUUAUCCAGUCAGCACAAGUCCCAUUAAAGGGUGAUAUUUUCAACUCUGGUAGUUUCGAUGCACUUGCUUUGGCUUCUUUCUCCAUCUGAAUUUUCUUCUCUGCCAGCACCAACUCCGCUCUCAUUCUUUCUUCCCACAUUUCUUUCUCUUGUUGUUGGAUCUGUCUACGCAGUUGCUCUUCUUUCUCCAUUUUUCUGAUUGCCACUUCUUCCUCAGCUCUCAAGUUUUUAUGUCUCUGUCUAUCGUCUAGUACCCUACACAACCUCGCACGUUUCUCACAUAGUGGUGCAUACUCUGCCUUCAAAUCUCUUUUCCACUGUCUAAUAGAUCUUUGUGUUGACUUUCCCAGCUCAAUUUUUAAUUCUUGUAAAUGCGACACCAAGUCGUUCAUAUUAUCUUGAAUUUGCUGUGUUCGCUUGCAUACUUGAAUUUGCUGUGUUCGCUUGCAUAAUUGAUUUCAUUAAAAUCCUCACUUUCCAAUAAUUCGUCGACGUCCUUGAGGUAAAACUGCAGCUUUUCAAUUUCUUUUCUAAUCUUUUUCUCCUGGUGUUUCUCCUCUUGAGUGAUUUCUACCGUAUUAUUCUCCUCAAUUUCUUGUUGUUCAAGUUCGUCCGCCAUCUUGGAUUUCGCAAUACCCUCAAUUUCUCGUUUUAUCCGCAAAUAUUUCGUUGUUCAAUCCUGGUCACGGCACCAAAAUGUGCCGAACUUGUGUCGGCACACUAAAACUCUCGUAUUAUGUUUUAGCAAAGUUUAAUAAACUAUAAAAACUCCCACUUUUUAUACAAAACUCUCGCUCACAAAGUCUCACAUGUUCGUUGUUUUUCCCGAUACUCAGGUCGCCCGCGAACAGGCUUGUUUCCCACAGGUAACCCAAUACCCUAUCUCUAAUAUGUUCGUUCAACACUCCUAAUAUAUGUCGCCAUAUUGAUUUUCUUCGCGCAUGCUCAGACAAAUUGCCCACCUGUUCUGCCAGCGGAGCUGUUAAUGGGCAGACACCUGCGUUCUCAGUUGGAUCUGAUACAGCCAAACUUUGGAGACCGGGUUAGGGAAAAACAAUCACAGCAUAAGGCAGUACAUGGCUAUCAUGCUAGAGAACGGAUUAUCAAAACCGAGAACCUAGUAUAUGCGAAAGAUUUCAGGAAACCUAAAAGUUGGAUGCCUGGGACGGUAGUGAAGAAGACGGGACCAGUGUCGGCAGAAAUAAGCUUGAUUAUGUGUCAAUUAUCCGGCGUCACCAAGAUCAUCUCCGCAUUCGCACUGAUGUUCCUCAAACAACCAUAGCGAGUGGACUGGAAGACAUACAACUACCAACCAGGGAGGUGAAUCCUGCAGAACCACCGGAUGAACCCGAACUUGAAGCAGAACACAAAAGACAACCCCAUAUAGACCGUCGUCUUCCUCAACAUUUGCAGGGCUAUGAACUAGCAAACAGCUAAGUUGAACUUGUUAUAAACCAGUAUUUAAUAUGACAUUUAGUUAAAGUUGACAUUCUAUUUUGUUAGAUACAGUGUAGUUUAGAUUAUUGGACACAGGGAAGGGAGGAGUGUAGUAUCCAAG